AUUGUACUUUCUCCGUCCGAAAAUACUUGUCGAAGGAAUGGAUGUAUCUAGACAUAUUCUAAUUUUAGAUACAUCUAUUUUUAUGCAUUUUUUCGACGAGUAUUUCCGGACGGAGGGAGUACUAA
rfam:Triticum aestivum genome assembly, contig: Triticum_aestivum_CS42_TGACv1_scaffold_405636_5BL